rnacentral:sRNA from 1 species
UCAAAACUAAUGUUGGGCUUGGCGUAUAUACUACCUAGUUUUAGAUAUUGGUUAAACUUGCUAAUUUCGUACCGUGCUCCAUCACAGGUUUUUAAGCGCACUAUACCUUGGAGACACA